AUGGACUUCGGCGCCGACAUGGACGACUUCUCGCUCCAGUACAUCCACGAGCAGCUGCGGCUCCAGCUGCUCGGCGCCGACCCCUGCGGCCUCCUGCCCCUCCCCGCGGCGGACGACUUCGCCGCGCACCCGGACUUCAUGCCCGCGGACUUCCUGCCGCAGCCGCUCCCCGCCUUCGUCGACCUCACGGCGACCGACUACGCGGACGCGGCGGCGUACCGCGCCGCCGCGGAGCCGGUCAUGAUACGGUUCGGCGGCGAGGCGUCCCCCGUGUCGUCGGACCCCGCCCGGAGGCCGUCGCUGACCAUCUCGCUGCCCCCGGCCUCGCACGGCUGGGCGGCGCCGGCGCCGGUGCCCGCGGCGGAGGCCGCCGCGGCCGCGGACGCCAACGACUUCCGCAAGUACCGCGGCGUGCGCCAGCGGCCGUGGGGCAAGUUCGCGGCGGAGAUCCGGGACCCCAACAAGCGCGGCUCGCGCGUGUGGCUCGGCACCUACGACACCUCCAUCGAGGCCGCGCGCGCGUACGACCGCGCCGCCUUCCGCAUGCGCGGCGCCAAGGCCAUCCUCAACUUCCCCAACGAGGUCGGCUCCCGCGGCGCCACGGACUUCGUCGCCCCGCCGCCGCCGCCGUCGCAAACCGCGCGCGCGGCGCCCACGUCGCAGAACAAGCGGAAGCGGCAAGAGGCGGCCGAGCCAUGCGUCGAGGUGGUCCGGGAUACCACGAAACACUGCAAGGCCGAUGCGUCCGCGUCGCCGGCGUCGUCGCUCACCUCAACGCCGACCUCGACGGUGACGUCCUGCACCACCACCCUGUCCUCGUCGGAUGCCGGCGGCAACUACGAGAUGUUCCCGCUGGCAUCACCGACUAGCUGGACGUGGGAUCAGCUGCUGGCCGAAGGGAUGUUCGGCAGCCUGUCGCCGCGCCAGCAGCUGGGUAGCUUCCCGGAGGUGACCGUGAACUGA
rnacentral:rRNA from 1 species